AUUGAACGCUGGCGGCAGGCCUUACACAUGCAAGUCGAACGAGUGGCGGACGGGUGAGUAAUGUCUGGGAACCUGCCCGAUGGAGGGGGAUAACUACUGGAAACGGUAGCUAAUACCGCAUACCAUCGGAUGUGCCCAGAUGGGAUUAGCUAGUUGGUGGGGUAACGGCUCACCAAGGCGACGAUCCCUAGCUGGUCUGAGAGGAGGACCAGCAACACUGGGACUGAGACACGGUCCAGACUCCUACGGGAGGCAGCAGUGGGGAAUAUUGCACAAGGGGCGAAAGCCUGAUGCAGCCAUGCCGCGUGUAUGAAGAAGGCCUUCGGGUUGUAAAGUACUUGCAGCGGGGAGGCGUUACCCGCAGAAGAAGCACCGGCUAACUCCGUGCCAGCAGCCGCGGUAAUUC
rnacentral:rRNA from 1 species